AGGUAAUCGUGAACGGCCCAGCGGACGGCAAAGGCACUCUCGUCAGAAAGGUCGACGGCGACGCCGAUCUUGCGGCGGGCGCCGGCGGUGGGAGUCGGAGUAGCAGCGGUGGAAGGUGUGGAGGUGUGAUGGGGGUGGCGAGGGGAGGGUGGGUGGUGGAUCUUGAUGGUGGGGAGUUGAGGGUGGUCAGCGUCUUGGCCUGGAGGAUUCAUUUCCGGUCUGCGAGGAGGAAGAGGAAUAACUACGCUACGCGAUCUAGGGAUAAUCUCGAAAACCAAGACUGUCUGGUUUUUACCCUUUUCUUUGAUUAUCUGCGUUAAUUGAGUUGCAGAGAGGGAGUGAAUCGGGGAUUGGAAAACAGAUUCGUCGACCUCGAGGAAGAAGGAAUGAAAUGGUAAUGGGGUUGGGAGAAUACGGAAAAAAGAGUUGCCACGCGGCAAUUUGCAACAUUAAAUAUAUAUAUAUAUCUCCUGCGUCAAAGUUUGUCGUUUUCCAAAAAAUAUAAUAUUCAUUAUUACAUUUUUAUAUAUAAAAUAGGUUUAAAUAGUAACAAAAUUUAGUAGCAUUGUAAUUCUUUUAUUUAAAUAUUUAUAAUUAACUUUUAUGAACUAAUUUUUCUAAGAAAUUUUAUAUUUAAAAACGAGAUUAAGGACUUAAAUAAAAAAAUUAUAAUAGAUUUUUUACCAUUUAAACUUAGAUAAAAAUAUAUCUCCUGUGAAAAAUUAAAAAGACUGAGUAAAUAGUGUUUAUAAUUAUUUUUUUAAGUAAAAUAUAAUAUAAUAUAUAUAUAAAUAUCUUACAUUGGGAAUUACUAAAAAUGAAAUUUCUAAUUUAAAAUGCAAGUAUGAUAUAUGUUGGUUAAUUAUAAAAUUUAUAAACAAGAUAAUAUAAUUAAUACUAGAUAAAGCCAAAGGGCGAGUAAAUUUUUUAAUAUAAAAAUUAUUGUGAUUAUUGUUUAUAAAUUUUUAUUAUAAUUCAUAAAAAUCCAAUUAACAAAUACGUAUUUUAACUAACAAUUUAAGCUCAUUAAAAUUAAUUAAAUAAAUGUUCAAAAUAUUUGACUCAUCCGCACUUACGUUUAUAUAUUGACUGAAAAUGCGUCCACUCCCACGUGUGGACGUGCCGGAGUGGUUAUCGGGCAUGACUAGAAAUCAUGUGGGCUCUGCCCGCGCAGGUUCGAAUCCUGCCGUUCACGGCUUUACCAAACCACUGUUUUGGAUUUCAUUUAUUUUUCUUUUCGGAGAUACCAGGCCCAAUAAGCUUAGUCAUACACGCGAGCCCAACAUCAGGCGAGCCCAAAAACGAUACCGUUUUUGACAAGCUGAGUCCUGCACGUCCUUUCGCUCAUUAACUGUCGUUGUUUCGAAGAAGAGGAGGAGGGGAAGAGCGGUAGCCGUACAUGCAACGAGGAGGAGAAGAAGAGAUGAAGGAGGAGAAGAAGAAGAGAAAAGGGAAGAAAAGAAGAUAAAGAUGCGUCCGCGCACGCCGAGGAAGAAGAGGACGACAAACAUAAAAAGGCGUGCAAGGAGUCGAGUUCGAGAAGAGAUCUGUCCAUGAUAGGCGCAGGAAGAAGAAGAAGAAGAAGGAGCCAUGGCAGCUAGAGAGAGAAGUAGAGGCACACACGUGAAGAAGUUUGUGAUCCUCGGAGGAUUUCCAGUGGUGAAGCAUGUCCUCUUUCGCCUAUAAAAAGGAGACCCCGUGAGAAUUAGAGGGGGAAAAAAAGCUGGCCGAGAGAAGGGUGAGAGGAAAAAAAAAAGUGAAGCUGAGACCCAGAGAUGAGAGAAAGCCUGAAUAGAGAGAGAGAGAGAGAGAGAGAGAGAGAGAGAGAAAGAGUGAGAUUGUGGAGGUUGAGAGUUUGAAGCAGAAAGGAGAGUUAAUUUGGGUGCUUCCCUAGACCUCAGAAAUAGACUUCCAUUUAUAAUCCUUCAGAAGGUGUUCUCAUUACUAGUGUUUGAAAGUUUUUCUAGGGAUGAUUCAAGUUCGUUAAGUUGUGUCCAUGUUUAAUAUAUGUUGUUUGAUAGAUAGCUUUCCAACUCCAAUUUUGUUUCUCCAAUUCUAACUUUGUUAAUAUAUUAUUGAUUCAUUAGUCUCUGGUUUCCAACUUGCAUCGUAUUUUAAUUUAAAUUAUUGUAUAAAUUUUAGAUUGUGAAGUUGUAAAAUAACUUUAAAGAUUCUUGAAUUUGUAGUUACACGAGUACAAACUUAGUAUUACCACAUUAAGAUUUCGUAUAUUAGUUUACUUUAAGGAGCAUUAUGCAUUGAUAUGGUAUGAGAAUUAUAGUAAUUCACUCUAUCGCAUUUGUGAAUAAAUUUCGUUGAAACACACCAAGCCGCAUGGAAGGAAAUAAUGUCUUUACUUACAUUUUUUUAACAUUUAUAUUUAUUAACGUUUUUGUGUAAGAAUGUAUAUUCAUCAAGUCGGUAAUUUUUUUUUUUAGUUCUUCGGUAUUUUCUUUUUAUGUAUUUCAAAUUAUUUCCUUCACCAAACUCAAAAGAGGCAAUAAUGGAGUAACAAUAAAUUCUCAUUACACACACCACUCUAGUUGAUUAGUAAAAGAAAGAUAAUAAAAAAAAAUAAAAGAAAAUAAAAUAAAUAACAAAAAAUAGUAAUAAUUAAAUAAUCGUGCUACCUUACAACUUCCUACCUCACAUUAUCUUGAAUCCAUAUUUUAUGCGAAAGACCAGCGCACUAAAAUUUUUAAUAACAGUCACGAUAUGCUUAAAAUAAGUGUUCGAGGGAGUGUCACAAAUCCACUGUUAUCAUCCUUGUCGCAUAUCUGCUGUCGCAGAUGCGCUGUGUGACUUAGAACACGAAAGAUAAUUUUCUUCUAUCCGAGUCGAAAGGGCUAGUCGUUAUCUGACCAGUAUUCAUCGACACUCUUUAAGUUGGCUCGAGUGCCGAUGUUUACCGACAUCAACUCGUACUCCCUUACCCAAUCUAUCCGGCUUUGCAGCUCCUCAUCAUUUUGGCAAGGAAGCAGUUGUGAUUCCCUUUGGUCUAGUGUAAGGACGAGACUCAAGAAGGGGUUUUUCACCAUCUUAUAGUGGUAUCGCUGGCCUAUAUAGAAACCGCCCUCCAUCUCUUUUAGGCUAUAUGGUGUCACGGAUUGAUAGGCUCUAUCAAACUUCGCCUAUGAUCUCAUUUCUAAUUAAUUUGGCAAUUCUUAUUUUUAGAUUAAAUUAUUUUUUAUUAAGUUUCGAUCUUACAUCACCAGUACUAAAGAUAUACAUUGACACAUAAAUAUAUAAACAUACACAAUAAAAAGAUUUUGAAUAAUGCAUACAUCAUGCUAAGAUGGCACGCUACGAUUUCCUUUACUUUUUCCAAAUUAAGGUAGGAUUAGAGAUAAGUAGUUAUAUCUUCUUAUUUUUUAUUAAUAAUAUGAUCAAACUUAUCUCAAACAUUAGUCCAAAAAUUGUAACAAAUAAAAUAUAUAGAAUUAAGUAUCUACGUUGGAUCAAUCUAUAAUUUGCUUUACUUUCUCCAAGUUAAGUUAUGAUACGAGUUUUUUUUUUAAAAAAAAAAGAAAAAAUAAAUAAUUUGAGUGCUUUCCUUGAUUUUUAUCAUUUCUUUUUUUGUUGUUCCCCAAAAUAGAAUUCAAUGUAAAUCUUUCAGAGAACGUACUUACUACUAGCGUUUGGAAGCUGUUUUAGGGAUUAUUUAGAUUCAUUAAAUUUUUUAUUUGUUUAAUGUAUGUUAUUUGAUAUUUUGGUUUUCUAUUUCAUGGAAUUAAUAAGAGAAGAUGAACAUUUAAUGCUUAAUAAAAUUUCGUUUAAGACCCUGAUUGAUAAAUGGUUCUAAUGAUAUUAUAUGAGAUUUUGUUUGAGACCUUACUUGAUAAAUAGCUCUAAUGAUAUUAUUUAAAAUUUUGCUUAUUAGAUAGUUUUAACGUUAAAAUCUAAUUGAAAUAAUAUUAUUUGAGAGUUUGCUUGAUAGAUUUUUUUUAGCCCCAAUUUUAUUUAUUAGAUUAUGACUUUGCUAAUAUACCAUGGGAUUAUGACUUUGCUAAUAUACCACGGGAUUGUAUCUUGUAGUUCUCAGUUUCAAGCUUGCAUCACGUCUUAAUUUAAAUUUUGAAGUUGCUCAAUAACUUAAAAUAGGAUGGAGUUCGGGGUUGUAUGGGUAUGAUUUUGGUGUUACCACAUUAAGAAUUUGUAUAUCAAUUUACCUAAAAAAAUGUUGUGGAGGGACGUAGGAUGAGAAUCACGAUCAUUCAUUUUGUCACGAAUAACUUUUUUGUAUGAGACUUGAUAGUCUUUUUGUUUAAAUACAUCAUGUUGCCUGGAAGGAAACGACGUCUUAGAUUCGUUUUCGUCAUUUUUUCACCUUUUAUAUUUCUUACCAUUAUAAAUAUAUAUUCAUCGUCGAUAAUUUUCCUUUUUUUUGGUUUAAUUGGUAUUUCCUUCUUUACUUUUAUGCAUUUCAAAUCCUCUCCUUCCUUAGAUUUCAAAAUAGGCCAAUAACGGAAUAACAAUAAAUUCUCCGUACACACACUACUAUAGUUGUAAUAAAAAAAAAAUAGUAAACACGAAAAAGAAAAUAAAGUAAAAAAACUACAAAAUAAUUUACAUGCAUCACGAAGCAGGUGUCCUCUUCUUAUUUUAUAUUAUCUUGAAUCCUUUUUUUUUUUAUAAACUGAUCAAUGCAGUAAAAUAUUUAACGUCUGAUCAUACUUCAAAUAGAAUAAAUGAUGAUUCUUUAUUUUUAAAUUAAAUUAUUUUUUUUUACUAAAUUUCUAUCUCACACUGUUAAUAUUAUUGAUAUACAAUAAAUAUAUAUAUAUAUAUACACACACUUACACAAAAGAGAAUUUUUUAAAAUAAUGUACACAUCAUGUUGACAUGGCAAACUAUGAUUUCCUUUAUUUUCCUAAGGUAGGAUAAGAGAUAUAUAUAUAUAUAUAUAUACAUAUAUAUCUUGUAUUCUUGAUUAAUAAUAUGAUGCAAGUUAUCUCAAACAUUAAUCCAAAAAUUGUAACAAAUGAAAUAUAUAGAACUAGGGUCAAACUAUGACUUCCUUUACUUUCUCCAAAUUAAGGUAGAAUAGAAUAUGUAUGCAUACACACACACACACACACACACACACUGUUAAUCCAAAAAUUUAUCAAACCAUCAACAAUUCCUGGCUUAAAUUCAAGCAUAUAUAAAUAUAUAUAUAUAUAUAUAUAUAAAUCUUCUAAAGAUUGAUGAUUAAAAAUCACGGAACAAAUAAUAGCAAGAUCAUUAAAGGUGGGAGAAUUAACAAGAACUGACCGCCUGACACAACAACAGAUCAGAGAGAGAGAGAGAGAGAGAGAGAGAGAGGAAGAUUAAAUAGAGGAUUUAUAGCGAAAAUCAAGAUAUACAGACAUACAUAUGUCUGUAUGUAUACUGCAGUUCUUUUUGGAUGAAGAUGAGAUCAGAUAUAUAAGUUCUAUAACAAUAAACGGGAAAUCCAAAAGAACUGUAUCUGGUUUUUGUCUCGCAUAUAAAUUACACCAUUAAAGUAAAAGACCCAGAAACACUAAAAAAGAUACCCAAGAAAAGACACAUUCUCUCACACACAUAUAUAUGUAAGUAUCGACGACUUCAGAGCUUUAGAGACAAAUCAAUGGAAGUAGCUGGAUCACUACUGCUAUUAGCAUAAGAAGCAGUGCUAGUAGUGAGAUGAUUAGAAGCUUCACCAUUACUCAUUGCAUUAACUGAAGCUUCUGCAGGCCAUCCCCUUUUCUCCUUGAUGAUUUUCUCACUUGUUUUUCCCGGAAAAAAUUCAUACUCCAUAACUAAACUCCCACCAUUUUCAUCACAGUUUCCUUUCCUGUGUAUAGCCAUCACCUCCACUUGCUGCAAAAAAAUAAAGUCCCACAUGAUCUAACCCGUCAAAAUCUCUUACAAUUUAAUUCAAAGUUAAUGAAUUGAAAUCAAGUAAUGAAGAUGGGAAAAGGUUAAUCAUAUGUAUAUCAUGACAUAGAAUCAUAUCUAUUCAAGGGUAUACAUAUAUAUUAUAUAUUAGGUGCUCACCUCAUUGGAAUCACGGGAAGCAAAAAGGGGACUCUUAGUUGAUUUCACAGCGCCAAAUCCAUUGAAAUGAUCUCCAUUGAAGGUGCCUGCGUUUUUUUCUCGAUCAACUCCCACAAAAUCACAGCUUUUGCUUGACGAGAAAAAACUCAGACCAUAUUGAUCUUUUCCCGAUCCAUUAAAGCCUGUAUCCAGUCCAUCAGAGCGCUUCUUCUGCAUCAAAAGCCAAUAAACUUAAGACAUCGCAUUUCAAAAGAGAAAAAUUAACGAGAACCUGGGGUGUUUUGAUAACGUUCUUCUUUGCUCUUCCUGCAUUUUCCCAGGAAACAAACGAUAAAGCAUAUAAAAAACAAACAAGAAAUUAAAACACAAGACCUUCGAGCAAGCGUCAAAGCAGUCGGGUCCAGAUUGCUGAAGCAUAGUUUGUAUUGAAGGGAGCUCUUUCGCCGUCUCAAUCUGAACCCUCAUGUCCGAACCAGGAGUUCCAACCCUACCCUGAUCCAUCAUCAAACACCCGGACCCACCACCAUAAAACCCACCAAAUCCGCCAUUUCCGAUCCUGUGAGCCACCAUACGCGGGUCCAAACACAGUAACCCGUCACCACCAAUUGUGGGUCCCGCGUAAUAAGCUCCGCCGUGAAGCACCGGAACACCACCGAUCGAGUCAGUGGUGAAAGGUAAAUGCGGCACAGAGUGAAACUGAUUGGGAACAUGAAGAGCAUUCACCUGUGUAAUAUCCGUCAUCUUCUUCCACCUCUCUUGCAGCCUUAACCGCUCGAGUUGCGCCACCCCCAUUCCUCUCUGCGGCUGCUUUUUCUGAGCCGGAACCUUACUGGGUUUUCUCCCUCGACUCCUGGGCGAUUCGAUUUGGUCCUCCGGCGGGGAAUCAACUUUGGGUUCUUCUUGAUUGGCGGCGUUACUCUGUUCUGCCGCCUUGAACAAGAGUGAACUGUUACUUGUCGCCAUUGAAAAAAUCAAAAGACCUACACAGAGAGAGUUUUUUAUAAUGUUAGAGAAGAUCAGAUGAGAGAGAGAGAGAGAGAGAGAGAGAAAGAGAGAGUUCUGUAUACCGAAAAACCAAACAGUAAUCCUGUGUACGAAAUGCUGAAAACAAAACCUGUAUGCUUGUUUUUGUGAAUUUUGCUAUCUCCACCCACCAGGUCUCUGCUAUCACCAGACUGCACUAUAUAUAGAGAAACGCCUUACGCAGCAAAAUGGCUCCCUGGAUAUAGUAACCUAUGAGCUGGCCCUAGCUGUUCGCGACUAGGAGGAAACAUGCUUAUCCCACUAAACGAAAAACCAAAACCAAUCCACUAUUUAUCACGUGUAUCACACGCACCAAUAAGAAUCAACAGAACUGAAAGUGUAGGGGCCGACGCGGGAAGGGAGCGUAGAAGCGUGCAAAAAGGCCCGAGGGUUGGUACACUGGGACACGCGUCAACACCUGAGACCAUACGCCGAAUAUCUCGGGCUUGGUCUGAGCCGGAGGGGUUAGAACGGUCAUUAGGGUUUCAUAUUUUCGUCGGAAAAUUACAGUAAAAGGAUUAGGUUUAUGCAUGCCGAUGAAUUCGACGGUCGUGAUCUUCUGAUCGCACACAUUAGUAAAUAUUAUUUCUUAUUGUUAAUUAAUUUAUAUUUUUACUCAAACACAUAUUAGAUUUCAAUAAAAAAAAAUUUUUUUUUUAAUAUUUUUCUUUUUGAAAUUUUGUAGAAUGCUGACUUGAAAUUUUAUGCGAAGUAAUAUUUUUAAAUGAUAUCUAUAAAACCAAAGAUGUUAAAUAUUGAAUUAAUAAAAGCAUUUGAAUAGUUAACUUAUCUAACAAUAUACUAAAUAUUAGGCAGUUUAUCUAGAAAUAAUACCCACCUCCAUAAUGGUUGAUUACAUAUCAUAAUGAGAGAUUUCAAAUUUAAUUAAUUUACAAUUAUAUCUAGAUAUUUUAAAUUUGAUUCACUAAUAACAUUUGAUUUUAUCUUAAAUGACCUUAGAUACACCUAAUCCAAAAAUUAGAUUAUAGAAUAGUGGAUAUUUAAAAUUAAAAUUUUACCUAAAAUAAUAAUAAACAUACAUUAUGUUAUACUUAAAUAAUUUAAAUUACUUUAAACUAUAGUUUAUAAUUAAAUUCUUACGUUUUAAACGAAUUAUAUCACUUAAAUCCCAUGAACCCUAUUACAAAAAAUUUAUCAAAUUUUAUCUAUAAGUUAAUUGAACCAAAUUUCCAUAUUUGUUUAAAAUAUAAAGAUUGUGUAAUAAAUUUUAAAUUAAUAGAUAUAACAAUAUAGUAAAGAUUUAGAUAGUUUAAGUAGUUUAUCUGUAAAUAAAUAUCCACCACUUUAAUGGGUUGAUUACACAUUGUAUUAAGAGAUUUUAAAUUUAAUUUCUUAACAAUUACAUUUAGAUAUUUUAAAUUUGAUUUUAAGUAUAAUAUUUGAUUUUAUUUUAAAUGACUUUAGAUGCACCUAAUCUAAAAAUUAAUUGGUACUUCUUCAUCUCUACAAAAAUAGAAAUUCGAGAUUCGAUUUUUUUACCUAAUAUAACAUUAAAUACAUAUUACAUUAUACUUUUAAAAAAAAAUAAAUUAAAUUAAAUUACGGUUUCUCGUUACAUUAAAAUUAUAAUUAAAUUCUUAUGUUUUAAAUGAAUAUAUAACUUAAAUCCCAUGAACUAUAAAAAUUAUUUUUUUACAAAAAUUUAUCAAACUUUCUCUAUCGAAUUAAUUGAACCAAGUUUCCAUAAUUGUUUAAAAUACAAAGAUUAGACAAUAAAUUUUAGAUUAAUAGAUUUGACAAUGUAAUAAAGAUUUAGAUAGUUUAAGAAGUUUAUCUAUAAAUAAAUAUCCACCUUUAUAAUGGGUUGAUUACAUAUAAUAUUGAGAGAUUUUAAAUUUAAUUUCUUUACAAUUAUAUUUAGAUAUUUUAAACUUGUUUUAUUUACAAUAUUUGAUUUGAUUUUAAAUGACUUUAGAUACUCUUAAUCUAAAAAUUAAAUAGUACUUCUCAUCUUUAGAAAAUUAGAUAUUCGAUUUUUACCUAAUACAAUAACAAAAAUAUGCUUUAAAAAAUCUUUAAAUGUAAAAUUCAAAUAUUUUAUCCGAUUAUAACUAAACUCCUUAGAUUAAAAAAAAUCAUAAUUAAAUUCUUAUAUUUUAAAUGAAUAUAUCAUCUAAAUCCCACGAACUAUAAAAAUUAUUAAUAAAUUUUUGAUUUCAAAGUGUUGUUAUUUUAGAAAAAUUUAUCAAACUUUCUCUAUAAGUUAAUCCAACCAUGUUUCCAUAUUUGUUUAAAAUACAAAGACUAUAUAAUAAAAUUUUAUAUUAAUAGAUCCAAUUUUAAGAAUGUCUUAAAAUCAAAAACCUUAAUAAUUUGCCCUUUUUAUUAUUGUAUGGAACGAAAUUUUAGAAGGUGCAACUAACAUUUUCCCAAUAAUCUUUAUAUAUACUUAGAUGGAAAACUAUAUUAUCAAAUCGUGCCAAAGUGGGUAACAUAUACAUAUAUAUAUAUAUAUAUGUAUAAUACUCAAAUUAAGUGAAUGUAUACAUCAUAUUAGUUCUUUAUAAGGAUUUUAUAAAAAUAAAAAUAAAAAAAAUGAAAGGAGAAAUAACUAAGAGUCUUGGGGUAGUGACCGAGAGUAAGAUUUGGUAAUGAAUAUAUGAAUCUGCCUAUUGUGUAGGCUUGUAAUGAUGCCUUUUUUCAAUUAAGGUAAUAUCAAAAAGCUGACCCCAUGUGGUUCCUUCUUAUUUUUAGAAUUUAACUAGCUGUUAGCAAACCCUAUUGUCAACAAGAGAUAAUAUAUAUAUAUAUAUAUAUAUGUAUAGAUUGAUAUGAUGCGUAAUUAAUGUUUAAUUACUUUACUUUCUUUAAUUAAUAGUAUUAAUUCUAACCCAUCAUUAAUAAGGAAAGUUUAAUUUUCUCACAAUCAAUAUUUUUUAGUAAAAAUUUUAUGCAUUUAUCAAUAUUAAUUACGUAACUAGCAUUGGAGAAAAUAACAUUUAAAUAAAAAUACAAAAUAAAUCGAACCCAAAAUUUAUUGUUAAGUUAAAUAAUAAUUAAUUUGGGUGAAGAAAAUAAUUUAAUUUUUUGCUAUAUUUAAAUUUUCUUAUUAAAAUAAUUUAAUAAUGAUAGACUUAUCUAAUAACCCAAAAUAUGGUAUUCAUUUAAAUUAUUAUUAUUUUUUUAAAAAUAAAAUGAAGGGUUCAUUUGUUAUAAUUAAUUUAAGAUUAUUAUAAGAAAAUUGAUGAUAGAAACCGAAUUAUGAUUUCACAUAAUUUAUAUGCUAGUGAUCACAUCGUCAAUAUAUCAUCGCAUAAUAUACAUGUCCACAUAUACGUGCGGUACAUACAUGUAUCUUACAAGGGAAUACUGCAAUAUUUAAACAAUACGAGUAUGUUUUUAUUUUCAUUUAUGAUCAUUUAAAUAUUCAAAAGGUGGCUAUUUUAAUAUUUUUAUAUAAUGUUAUGAGAUUAAAUUAGACUGUACAUUCUGUGUCUACUAAUAUGUUAUAUUAUUGUUAAUUGUAUUAUUAUUAUUAUUAUUUAUUGACUUUUAUUAUUAUAAAAAAAAAGCAUAUUAAACCUGUUAUUACACUAAUUAGUCAUACAUAUAUAUAUACACGUAUAUAUGUAACGUGUGUGUAUAUAAACUAUACACACACUUACACACCCAUCUUUAUCAAACUGAGUACUCGGUCAAAGUCAUAUAUUCCAACCGUCAACCCCAUUUCACACCUCCUCAACAAUCAUGAAGUUUGAAACAAUACAUCCCACAUAUUGCCUAAGAAAACAUCGAACCAAUCACAAGACGCCACAUCGGCAUGCUGCAAAAACGCAUAAACGUUCGUCUUACAAAACAUCAAAAUGCCGUGGCAGAAGAUUAGAGAAAUAAGAAACUCAAACCUCGUGACCAACCAAAAAAACCAUCUAAAGGAUAUUUCGUCUAUACACAUAUAUGUACGUACGUACGUGUGUAUCGAUAUGGUUGGAUCAGAGAUUCGUAUGAAUUGUUUGGAGAGGUGAAAUGUGUAUGUACGUGCAGUUUACAGAUAAAUAAUUUUGCGAUUUGUAUCAAAUCUUAAAUAAAAUAUAAAACAAUAAGGUUUGAUUAAAAUUUGCAGAUCCAAUAAUUAAACUUGUCAAUUUCGUAUGAAUAAAAAUAAAAAAACAACAGCGAACGGCGAAAAUGGAAUGGAAAUCGAGAGGAGGGAGCGACCGACUGCAUGCAGGCGGCGAAGCAUACAGGACCAUAUAUGCAGAAGGAAAAUUAGGAGGAAGAUGGGUGGUUUAACGGUGGGCCCCACGUGGGCCGUGUGGUCCCACCCGAGGCACGUGGAAUGUGGGGACCAUAUACGUUGGGAUUGGCCCCGGGGCGGGCGGGCGGCUGGUGAAGGGGGAGUUGGCACGUGUGAGGAGUGGUGGUGGGGGGAGAGAGAAGAACAUUACUGGGUUUAGGCAAACAUGGAAGGAUUCUUGGGUUCUGGGAAGCAGAUUCUGCCCUGCAUGGAAUGAUUGUGGAUUUCCUUCUUUCUUUUUUUUUUUUUGAAGCUUGGUUUUUGGCCGUCGCAUUAUUUGAAUAUUUAAUUUAAUGUCCACCAUUUUAUAUAACAUAUAUUUAUAAUUUGUAUUCUCUGAACAGAAUUAUAAAGUACAGAGGUGGAAUUAUAAAUUUUUAAACCCUUUUACUAUUAUAACAACUAUUAUUGCUACAGAGGAUGGAAAGUUAUAGAGAUGGCACUAUGCUACGUGGGAUAUAUUUAUAUUCCAGUUUAGAUCAGUGUAGGGGUCCUCUCUUGUUCAUACGACCGGGGGACCAAUUCACACGUGUUAUUCUGUAGAACCAGUACUCCAAUCCAUAUCUCAAACUAAAACUUCUAAACCACAAGGUACUUAUAACUAAAUUUUCAGUAGUAGUUUAAUCAUCAGUAAUUUGGUAAUUAGGGUUCAUCCCAUGGUUUCAGACCCAGAACACCAUACAACCGAACUUUAUGGUGAUUAGGGUUUCCAAGUCAACAAUUUCCAGUCUUUAUCAAUUAUUUUUCUUCAAAAAACCAUUUUAUGAACCACCCAAUUCUCACCGUAUUAUAUUGAUCACCCAACAGACAGGAGGAUAUAAACCCUAAUUAACUACAUGCGUAGUACAAAAAUGAAAAACUUAGCAGGUAAGAAUUUGUGUUUGUUUGGUUGUGGUUACCUAGAGAGUUUCUAUAAUGAAACCAAGACUUGAGAGUAACUGUUAGUUGUCUCUUUAUACAACUUGUGAAAAGAUCUAACCAUUUUAGGACAGCCAUACCCUAAAAGAUCCUCCCAUAAGGACCACUGCCCUACGGGAGGGCACAGAGAUGUAUAUCAUUAUUUUAGAUCUCAAUCUGAACUGAGAUUUGCUUCUCUUUCCCUCUGCUUCUCAGACUGAAAUUACUAUUUUGCCCCAGGAGUGCUCUGGAGAGGCCAUUCUGUCCCACAGCUCCGGCUGUGUAGGGGCAGUACAUGCUCUGUAACGGGCAUAAAGUACGGGUGUCCUACAGUAGGGCAGAGAGAGAGAGAGAGAGAGAGAGAGAGAGGGAGGGAGAAGACAUGCAAAUGUUGGGUGAAUGAAUCAGGGCCGUCCAAACAGGACAAAUCUGGGUGCAUCAAAUAUGUGGGUGGUCUAGCAUUUAUGUACAGUUUGGUGUAAGUGAUGAAUGCAGCAAGUCGCUAUCAUCUGUUAGUUGUGUUUUUGUACUGCAACAAAAAAAAAAAAAAAAAAAACCUAAUAGUACCAAAGACAUCACUCCCAGACACAAAAGCUAGAUAUGUCUGCUGGAUGCUUUGGGGCGUGCAACUCACGCCCCAUCCUGUUAUAUUUCCCUCACCUUUUCUUGGUACUCUUGGGAGCAAAGCAAGAAGCCAAUUACGUAUAAUAACAGUUCCUAACUCAAACUUAUUUUUUCAUUAUCUACAAAUACUUACUAAAUAUAUAUCAAAUAUUGUAUUUUAUGAUUUCAAUCGUGUAAAAAAAAAAUAUAUACUGUAUUCUAGGACAUGCUCUAAAGACCAGACCUACUUAACAAAUAAGGGGAAAUACACACACACACACACACAUAUAUAUAUAUACACAUGAGAGCUGCUGGUGCAAAUUACAUUUCUAACCUAGAAGUGAAUAAGACAAAAAGAGAGUAAAAGAAAUAGUAUAGUAAUUCUAAUUUACAAGUUUUCCUUUAAUAGUGAGAUUUUAAUAAAUAAAAAAAUUUAUAAGUUGAAAGGUAAACAAAACUCAAACUAAAAAAGUAACUUAAAUAAAAAGUUCAUCAUCUCUACUCAUAUUUUGGCAAAAGAACUGAAAAAGACAACUUACUCUUUUGCUGAACUUAUGUAUAAGCCAAGGAAAAAAAAUAAGUUUCUACAAUGGUAUUCGGUUUAACUUGGUUUCUCUUAGAACAACUUUAGAUUUUGACUUGUACAUUUUAAAAACACUUUUAUAACUAAACGGGUGAAGUAAAAAUAUUUCUAGCAAAAACAAAUUUCUUUUUGAAAAAGUUAAAACACAAACUAUAAUUUGUAACUUUAAAAAAUAACUUUUAACUUUUUAAUAAAAAUUUAUACUUGAAAAUAGUUAAAACGGUUUAUAUUUAGUAAAUUUGGCUUACAUGCCAAUAGCUUAUAGGUUACAUUUUUUAAUAUAUUAAAAAAGAAACAAGAAAACAAACUCUCUUCUUUACCUUAUAAGCCAUGCAACAAAACCCAUUUUGUAGUUUAUAUUUUUAUUAAAAUGUCUUUGUUAGAAAUUACAAACAUUCUCUACUUAAUUUUAAGAGUAAGUUUUCCUUUUUUUUUUAACCCAUAACCCAAAGAGAGUUCAAAAGAUUUGCACAACCCUCUUGGAAAAGAGAGGCAGACAUAACCAAAUUAUUUAAGGUGAACUAGUCAAGAGCUUGUAAGUUUUAUGAACUAACGGAGCCGGUAAGUUUAUGAACAAAUAAGUCUUAUUUAUAAGCUACAAUAAGUCCAAAGAUUUUUUUUCUUGGGAAGGAGGAGGGGGAGGAAGUGGAUACAACAACCUUGUAACAAACAAAAUGAUGAGCUUUCUAUGGCCUAUUUAUUUCCAGAAGAGUUGAAUUAGCAAAAAAAAGAAUAAGAAACGGAUUCCAAGUUAUUGAGUUAGAAAUAUAUGGGAUGAUUGAAUGAAUUGAUAUAUGUGAUAUACAAAACAUGAGGGCAUGGCCUACCUCAGCUUUUAACUUAUCUAUCUACAUGUCCCACAUUUGGUUUGCAAAAGCUACACUCGUAGGUAAGAUGAAAGACGCACACAACAUCCAUUUUCCAGGUGCAACAAGGCGUACCUUACGCAUUUCUACAUCGACAGCCACCUCUGAUAGGCCAAUUCUUAUCCGCUGCAUUGAGAGGCGAAAAAAAAAAAGAUAUAAACAUCAGUACAGCCACAGAUUUUAUUAAGGACAGCCAGAUGCACUCCACCCGCCUCNNNNNNNNNNNNNNNNNNNNNNNNNNNNNNNNNNNNNNNNNNNNNNNNNNNNNNNNNNNNNNNNNNNNNNNNNNNNNNNNNNNNNNNNNNNNNNNNNNNNNNNNNNNNNNNNNNNNNNNNNNNNNNNNNNNNNNNNNNNNNNNNNNNNNNNNNNNNNNNNNNNNNNNNNNNNNNNNNNNNNNNNNNNNNNNNNNNNNNNNNNNNNNNNNNNNNNNNNNNNNNNUGCACAGAGAUCCAAUAUCGCUAACAAUGUACUUGACACACUCUCCACUUAGGCAUUACAACAAAUUCAAUUCAGAUUUACCACAACAAAUAGAGAAGUAUACUACCCUUAGCAUGAGCAGCAACUGGUCAAAAUUUUAAAAAUUCAAAAUUAAUAAAUAACAAUCCAAUGAUUGAUCUCAAGUUGAUUUUUCACUCUUGCCAUGCGGGAAGAUACAUUUUAAAAACUCCAAUUGACAGAAAUACUGCCACUUAUUGGCACAGAGAGAAAUGACGACUUUAAACUUAUGCAAUUUUAAUUAGUCAGGUAGCAAAAAACCUCUAAACUUAUAGAGAAUAUUUGAUCAUUACAACAGUAGAACUAAGAAAUUCCACAAACCUUGAAGAUUUCUAAUACUUGCUUGAUAAAGCAAGUACCAUGAAAUAGAACAUGAGGAUGAUGCAGGACUAGUGUUAAACUAAUUUUUCCUGUGUAUAGCUUAGAAAUAGAAGAAGACAAGAAAAAGAAGAACAGAGAUAGGUUAAAGAAAAUUGGGAAUCAAACUGGAGAAAUACCUCAAUCUUCCUCUCAAGUUUGUUGAGUACACUGUUCCUUUCCAGAUAUUCCACUGCAUAGGGGUUCAAAUCAUUAGCAUAUACACGUUUGACUACCUUAGCUGCAGAUAUAGCAAUUGGACCAACCCCAGAGAAAACAUCACCUGUCAAUUACAAAAAGAGCAAAUCAGAGAAAUUAAUGCAUUAGCCUUUGGUAUUUUGCAUAACAUUUUGACGAGCUUUAACAAGUUACACGACAAGAAAAUAUCAGCCAAACAAGAUCUGCAGGGAAAAGAAAUAAGUCACCUAUAUGACCCUUACCAAGGUUUACCGCAACCAGUACAACAGAAACAAAUCUGUAAACAUAGGCCUGAAAAUGGUGUUAAAUCCAAUAGUAUCUCCUAUAAGUCAGAAUAAAAAUAUCUUCUCUUGUGUGGAAGACUGCCUUACUGUGAACUUAAAAAGUUUAUCUUCCAACCUAAAUUUAAUAGCUCUAGAUGUUUAUAUCAUGAUGAGAGCGCCAGAAUUCAACAGACAAUUGAGGGACCCAAGUGGGAAAAUCACACAUUUUUUAUAAGGUGCAUCAAAGAAGGAAGCAAAAAUCAUCAGACAUGUAAUUAUAUAAUUUCUAGCAUGUCUGUUGUAUUUUAUGGUGUAUGCUGUAUUUUAGAUGUGGACUUUAUGUGGGCUAGGAAGGAUAUGGAAGUGGAUAUUUAUGUAAUCCUUGGUAGUAGAGUAGGAAAAAGAUAGGGAGAAAGUGCAGCAGUAACUGUUCUGGAAAUAACCACCAGAACAACUAAUCCUCAUCCUUCUAGUGUAAAUCCACUUGUUGUCUCUGAAAUGGAUAUGCAUGAAAAUUUUGGCAAGUGUGAGUACUUUCGUAAUCAAGAAAUCACAGGAUUUUCUCGUAACAAGCCCUUAAUAAUUUACAAAGAUAGGUAAAGGAAGAAAAGACAGAAAAAACUCUAAAGAUUCUGCAGGUUUCGAUGUAAGUUGACCCAUAACGAGAUCCUAGAAGUCAGGACCAUAACAGCAAUUCAAAACUAGAAAUAUGAAGCUUUAUAAAAGCCCAAAAGGAGUAAGCAGCAUGGUAUAUGCAUGAUAUAACCCGAAGUGAGAUAAUUUUGCAAACAUACAGACAACAUCAGUGCGAUUGAAGCAAUUCAGAAGUCUUUGUCUUUCAGUUGCUAGCCUUGAAUUCCAAUACCUGUAUGCAAGAGAUGGAUACAUAUGAAUUAUAUUUUCAAGUUGAUUGGUUCCUGAUGGAAUCAGAUACAAAAUCGCUGCUGACUGUUGGGUGAUAAAACAGCAAAACUAUGCUUUCUUCACUAUGAUCUAACAAGCAUGCUUGGUAGUAUAUGUAAAUGUUAUCAGAAACAAAGAGAACAUAGAACAUGAAUUUGUUCAACUAUGUACAUGCACUAAGACCUCUGAGUAACUAAAACUAUUUUGCUAACUAUAGGUAACAAAAAAAAAUCAAGCUAAAUGUUUAUUUAGCUUGAAAAGAUAAGAGAAACACACACUGUAGCUAGAUCCACAUGAAACCUCAGUCCAUUCUCGACAACUGUAGUCACAAGGGAAUGAUUUCCUGCCAAAACCUCAAGUUGCAUGGUUCUGUAGUCAUUGUGAAUGGCAUCAAUCUUAUUGACAACUGUUUUUAUCUUUGGCCUAUUUUUAUCAAGAACAACCUGUAAAGAAAAAUAGCUUUUUCUGUUAAAUAGCAGCUUAUCACCCGAAUUAGAAAUUUUGCAACAGAUUCUGGUGAUAACAAAUCAAAUUAACUUCUGGGAAUAAGUACCUUUGCUAUAAGUUUCUUGUAUGGUAGAUGUUCAUCUCUCAGGUUAAGAUGUGCAAUAUGCCCAACCAUUUCAAAGGCUGAAGGGAUGAUCAUACCCUUUGGCAGCAAAGCCUCCAAGAUCUGCGAGCAAAUAAAUUAUCCAUUGUAGUAAGAAAAAAUAUCGAGUAUGAGAAAAUGGGGAAGAAAAAAACCAAAUUUUUGAGUGCUGGUACCAUCUAUGAACUGUUAGAGAACCAGAGAACCUUGGAUAAUCUCCUAGAGUAUUGAAGAAAUAAAAUAAAUAAAACCGCAUUUUGACCAAGGCCAUGGAAAAAAAAAAGCAAAGGAAUCUACAAACCAUUUGAUGAAGAAAACUGAAAAACAUUAUUUCUCUGAAAUCAAAUACCUCAUUCAUCUGCCAAUACUCAUAAAACAAAGUCAGCUUGCAUCUCACUAGCUCAAUAUUUGAGGUUGUACUUUCAUUGGUCUCUUCCCUGAAUACAGCCUGAAAAUAGGACCAGAAUAUCAUAUGUAGGCUUCAUCUGGAAAAACUAACGAUAAAAUUUCAUUUCAACUGAACUAAACUGAACCACAAAAGCAUACAUAAUUCAUUUAUACGUUUGAAAUAAAUCUUGAGAUUUUUAAAUACUUUGUAUUAUUAAUUGAAUUGCUAAAUUUGAAGAGAAGCAAAAAAAAAAAAAAAGGCUUAUUGUAAAUAAUGGAAAACACAUGCCAAUACUAAUGGAAACAAAAUGGCAACCUUCAUCUAGGAGAACAAUCAGCCCAAUCCUUUGUUUGUGAUCCAUUGCAAAAAUGAAGAAGGGCCUUCAAGAACAUCUUUUAAUAUAUGAAUAAUCGAUUGGUUUAUUUUCUAUUAACUUAAGUUUAUAGAACAGUUGACUAUAGUCAAUUAUUCUACACGGUAAUAGAAACAGGAGUCUAGUGUUUGGAUAUUAACUAUUGUUCUGUUCUUUUAAGAAGAUAUUAUUAUCUCAUUUUUAUUGAUUAAUUUCAGCACAAGCUAUCGAUGAUUUCUCUUUGAUCUACGCUUUCAACCUAUCCAAAUUGCAAUAAUAGAUCGUUCUAAGAUGUAAAUAAACAUUUGAUUCUUCGAUACAAAAUUGAAUACGCAAAUCAUUUCAUUAAAUUAACUACUAACUUUCUAACUUCAAAAAAUACCUAUUCAAUCCUAUACUUACCCUUUAAUAAUAAUAUAAAAGCCUGCAUUCAAAUAGUGCAUCCUCACCUACUGUAAAGAUAACAGAAAUCAAAAUCCAAUUCAACUCACAACAGCAACAGAAAAACACUGGUUUUGUUCCAUUUAUGGUUGCUAAAUUCAAAAUUUAACUCACAAGAACAGAAAAUAGCUGCAAAUAUCCACCACCUUGAUAGCCUCAGGCAGCUCCUCCAAACCCUUGUUGGCAAAUCUCUCAUCCAAAAGCAACAACCUUGUGGAACCCUUCCAUUUUCUCCUCCCCCUAAAACCUUCCCCCAACAAUCCCCUCAGUUCAUCUCCUUCCUCCUCCACAACCUCUACCACUGCAAAAUUAUUCUUCCCUUUCCCCUUCUCCUCCUUCACCUCCUCCUCUCCUCCGCCUUUCCCUUCCUUCCUCCUCCUCCUCCUCCUCCUCGGCCUUGAAAUCUUAGCCAAAUUUCUAAACCUCAUAUAUCCCCUCGAGUUAAACGUCUUCGCCAGCUUCUCCCGGUACAAAACCGGACUCAGUUUCUCCCCAUCUCCCUCUGCUCUCCCGUAUAUUCGCCGGUUCAACGAAUCAACAUUGUCCACCACUUCACUUUUGCGGCCCAGGAAAUUAAUUAUAUCAUCGUCAAUUUCAUCGCCAGGAACUCUGGCUAUAUUCCGAAUUCUCGGCCAAUUGAGUAGAUGCCCGCGAAGGCGGCUCUCAAGGGCGAAACAGUCUUUUGCCGGUACACGAAGGGCGUCUACAUCGAAGAUUCUAGUGAAUUGCUCCUCCGCAAGAACGUCUUCCUCGUCCUCCUCUUCACCUUCCCGUUCCUCUUCUUGUUGCUGGAUUCGUUGGAAAUCGGCCAUGGCGAUCUGUUGGGAAUGGUUUUGUGAGCCACCAUGAAAUGGGACUUUGCCUUUGUGGAGAGAAGGGCCGUAAGGGAUGCAAUUGGCGGCGUUGUUUGCGGAGGAGAGAAAUAGAAUGGCAGAUUUUGGUAGCGAAGAGGGUUUGAGGAAGAAGCGAAUUGGAGAGGAGAAUAUAGAGAAAGGAAGGUAGGAGGGUCGUAAGCAGGAUCUGGUUACCAUUGAAAUUGCAGGCGGUGGAGAGUUGGUAAAUGGAUGAAGGGGUUCAAGAGGGUUUUACGGCCCAUUAUUUUUAUUACCAAAAUUCGGUUCCCGCUUUAUUUUAAUUUUCCAAACAAAAUUUAUUUUUUAUCUCAAUUUUAUUUUAUUUAAUUAUAAUAUAAAUUAAAUAUGUAAUAGUAUUUUGUAUUUAAUUAUUACAUAACAUUAAUAAUAAUAAUUUAAGAAAUACACAUCAUCAUUUGAAUGGUUAUUUCAAUUCUAAUUUGAAUUUAAAAUUAUAUAUAACAAUUUAUUUUCGUUGGUUCAGAAAAUAAAUUAACAAAGAAUUGAAAAUAUAUAUAUUUUGUAUGUAAUAGAGAUAAUAGAAAAAUGAAACUGUAAUUCCACCAAAUAACAAAUUAUUUUAUUACAACAAAAUACAUUAAAAAAAUUGAAUAACACAAAAAUUGAAACUCACUAUUCAACAAGAACAAAUUUUUACUAUCAAAUUAUGAAUUUCGUUUCUAUAUUCAUAGUUUGAAUGUGAAAUAUUUACAAACUUAUAAAUUGUAGGAAAAUGUAUACAGACUUAUUACUCUCCGCUCUGUAAAAUUCCUUUUUCAAUGGGCAUCAGAAGCCCGUGAAUGACAGAAAUGCAUGGGGUUAGAAAGCCUGAGAAACUUCGAAAACUCAGACCAAAGCAAAGAAGAUGAUGAUAAAUGAUCAUCCCUGUCAAAUUUUUCUCUAUUUUUAACCUUACCAUUUUCAAUUUUUACUAUUCAAUGGAAACUGUUAUCAAUCUCAAUCAACAUACCCGCCAUCGUAUACUUCAGGAAGAAAAAAAAAAAAACAUGGUGAAAAACAGAGCACCCGAAAGACCCUAAACCAUCUUACGAAAUCCUUGACACUACAACAAUGGCUUCUUCGUGAUCAUUGAUUUCCUUCAACAUUUUUAUUAUUUUUAGCUACCUAUUUCAAUGGAUUGAAAUUAUUGCAGAUUGGGAGAAUUGCGGUUUCUUCUGAAGUUAUCGUUGUUUCUUCUUCUGCUCCUCCACGCCCAUCAGAGGCGGAGGCGGAGGCGACAAUCCAGCCGGAUUUCCUUUCGACUCAGUUCCACUGCAUUUACUCAACUGCGGCACCAAAAAAAGCAACGUUGAAGUGCACAGAAUGGCAAAUACUUUUCCCCAGAGGAUAAGAACCAGGAGGCUGACGAGAACCAGACAGAAGCGAUUACUGUGAUCAAAUUCCCCGCUAGUUCUCUUCUUCUGCGAUGUUUCUUGCCUCUGCAGAGCCCUGUUUUGGUCCGGUAAUCUCGAGGUUGAUGAAAAUGAAGACGACCCAGACGAGGAUGAGGUGUUUGCAGAAGAAUCUUCUAACGAUGAAGAAACUUCAGUGUUGGUUAUUCUACUUUCGUUGCCGGAAAAUCCGUCCCGCGUUGAGUUUUCGCUCGAGGGGUUUUCGGAUUUUGACUUUUGCCGCUUGUCCUUUUGCCCAACUUUUCUUCUGAUCUUCUUCGCCUGUUAACAACAUCAGUGAGGAAUCAGAACCGAACGUCAGAAAUUUGACACAGAGAAUUAGAAAGUGAAAGAGAAAAAAGAAAAGUUGACGAAGAUCGCAACAGAAUGGGUUGAAAGUUGAAAUACGAUUAUCGAGAACAAAAAAAAAAAAGGUACGGCCGAGAGGCUUCUUGAAUUGGUCAACGGAAAAAUAGAGAAGAUAGAACCAGAAAAAAAGAAGGAUCCCAAACAAAACUGCCCACGAUUUUUUUAAAGAAAAAAGAGUUUCCUGAAAGAUUAAAAUUGAAAUUCAAAGGAUCAGAAAUGGAAAUGGAGAAUCAAGAACAUUGGAGUACGACGAUGAACGUGACGCCUCUGUUACAAAGCAAACAGAGAGAAAUAGAACAAGAGCGGCAUUAGUGCAUGUUGUCAUUUUCAGACAAAAAUAAUGGAAAGAAAGACGAAAAUAUAUAUAGAUAAAUAUAUGUAUGUAUAUCAUGAUUCUAACCAGCGAAGUCUCAAAAAAAACUGCUCUGAAAACCCGCGAAAAUCUCCGGUGACCACUUUUCUUUUUCCUGCGAACCUCACCGCCUUUCUCAUCAGAUAAACUCAAACUAGAUGGGAUCCUCCGACACACCGCACCUUCCUUGCGUCCCGACGGGACAACGUACGAGAACACCGGUUCGUCACCCUUCAAACACCGGUCCGGUCCAACCGCAUCGUUUUCAUCCAUAUCUUCCGAUCUAAAACACAAGAAAAAUCUUCUCCCACUGAAAGAACCACUACUCCGACUCCUCUUCAACCCGUUGCCGUCAACGUCUUUCGUUACCGUUGCUAACGCUGUCGUCAAUGCGGGAUCGACGACGAAAUGCGGGGCUUUUGUAGCCAUCGCCGGCCUAUUUCCUUUCCCUUUUUUGUCCGGCUGGGAGCUUCUGCGAAGAUAUAGGGAGUGUUUGGGACCGGAGAAAAUUGUGGGAGCAUCAGAGGAAGUGAAAUAAGAAAAUUUGUGGGCUUGUUGUGUCCUUUCGCUUCCUCUUCUUUUUUCCUACUUUCUUGUGUUGAGUAUUUAUGGAGGGUGGUUUCGUCUUCACGACGAUCCCGCUACUUUGUAUACUCCGUUCAAAAAAUUAACAGGAUUAAACACAACUGGAAAGUGGAUUUAUUAAUUAAAUUAAAUCCUAAUUAAAGGAUUUAAAUGUAAUUAACAGCAUAGUGCGUAUUUAGGAUUAGUUUAUUUUCCUCGUGUUUUUACUGCUGUCAAAACUAUUUUUACUGGUUUUUAUUACAUAAAUAAUUUAUUUACCGAACAGUUAAUUAUAUAACUCCCUGUUUUUACCCUCUUCAUCCUCUAAAAUAUGUUACAAUAUCUUUUCCAAAAACUCGGUGGAUAUUGCUAUUUUAGGAAGCUUAUAAUACUAAUUCUUACAUUAUCACUUUUUUAAAACGUGUUAUUUUUUAAAUAUUAACCCUGAAUUAUUUUUUAAAAAUAGAUCAUUAAUAAAAUAAAUAAUAUUUUAUUGAUUUUUAACCAUGUUUCGUGUUACUAAUUACGUAAUUUUUUAUUUUACAUAUAUUUAAUAUAUUUUUAAUAAAAUUAAUAAUAUAUAUAUAAGGCAAAAGUACAAUAAUUUGCUAUAUAUAAUUUUGUUUAUCUUUAAAUGCCAAGUAGUUUAUGUAAAAUAUAAAAAAAAAUUUAAGGGUAAAAUAUAUUUUUAAAAAUAAUAUUUAAAAAACUCUACAAUAAAAUAUACAUAUUUAUAAAUUAUUUUAUUAUUUUCGUUCUUAUAAUUCAAUUUUUAACGUAAAAAUUUAUUUAUUCAAAUUAAUUAAUGAACUUGAAUAGGUAAACUACGAAUAUUGCUUCAAACAAUAAAAAUUUAUUUCUCUCUAAAAAAUAAAACUUUAAAAAAAUGAAAUGCAUAGAUUGCAUAUGAUAUUCGUGAAUCAUUUAACAUAAUAUAAAUAUCUUAUUGUUAAAGUAAAGGAUAUAUAUGAGAUUAGUCUAUGUAGCUUUUUUUUGACAAAUAUUAUGCGCACCAAAUGCACUAUUUUGUCUCAUUAUUAAUAUUAUUAUUAUUUUAUAGUCUCACAUAAAUUAUAAUGUACAUGAAUAUAAUAAUUAUAAGAAAAGUGAGCAAAACUUUCUAGAGUAAAGGGAAAAAUAAAUCAUUGAUCUAAUUCUAUCAACAAAAUUAGCAUAAAUUAACUCUCUCUCUCUCUCUCUCUCUCUCUCUCUCUCUCUCCCUCUCUUUUUAAAAAGUUUAUAUUGAGAAAAUUUGUUUAAUUUGUUAAAAAUUAAUUAUUUCUAACAUAAUUAUUUAAAAUAUUAAUACUAUUUAAAAUAAUAUUUCUUUGUGAAAAAGUUUAAUAAGAUUAAAAAUAUAAAAAGUGAUUACAUCUACGGGGAUUAGACCCUAGUGACCGAAAAAACUAGCCCAUUUAGUUAGCUUAUCAACUCGUUGGUCUUUAGCCCAUGAGAUCAAUCCAUGUUAUAUGCUAUAAAUUGAGCUCUCAAAACUUUAGUAUCCAGCACCAUCUUCUUAAUAUGUUAGUAUGGAGAAUUCAAGUGAAAGAUUGAACAACAAAUUAAGAGUCAUAUCUUAUUUGGAUUAACUGCAGCCUAUUGAACCUCGUCAUUCAAUGAUAAAAAAUAAUAGUUUUCUUAUUCGUUAUUAGAAGAUACAAGGUAAAUUUCAUUUUACUCUAUGCAUAAUACUUCCCUCGAAGCCAGGAAUCCUCCUAUAAAUUAAUUUUGACCCCCUGUCCACACUCUAUCUAAUAAAUUCUUCAAAUUUAUGUAAACUCGUGCUAAUUUUCCUUUGUAUCCCCUUCUCAUGCAGUCUUUUCGCAACUUUAGAAAAUGAACCCCUAUCUCUAGCACAAAACUUUGACUCAAUCACUCUCCACCAAAUAGUAUAACUUUAUUUCAUGAACCUCUAUAACUAUUUCCUUUGUAUGGGCAUAUUCAUAUCUAUAGAAGAUGUUAACACCAAGCUAUCAUGGGAUAUUGGUUUUUUUACCUCAUCCUAAUUUACAAAAUGAUAUUGUAACUUGUCUCCGAAUCACCUUAUAUGAACCUUCACUGAAUCGACUAUAGCUUCUUAACCACUUUUAUUAGGAUUGCCAUAAAUCCUUGUCCUCAUGUCCUCCGAUUCACUUGUUGCCUCCCAUUACUAAUGACCCUCUAGGCUCAUACCUUACCUUUUAACAAACUAGUUAUUGCAACAAAAUCCUAAUAAUUCAUAAGAUAUUGCCUAUAACUUUCAUGCAAAUAAACACUAAAACUAAGUAUGAUUACAAGAUUUUGCCUCCCUUUUGCAUAGAUAACAACCUUUUACUAUCAUCUUCUCUUUUUUCAUCAAAUUGUUAAUGGCCAAAAAUUAUUUGUCCUCCCUACCUACAUUCCACAUAGUACAUUCUUGAAAUUUAUGUCAACACAUGUUAAUUUUCCUCCAUAUCCAUUUUCUCCAUGGUCUUAUUGUACCUCUAAAAAACUAGGUCCUAUCGACAGUACCGAAUUAUGCCUCAAUCACUCUCCAACAAAAAGUAUCAUUCCCUUUAGAAACCUCUAUAGUUGUUCCCCUUGUAUUGCCAUAUUUAUGUAAACAAAAUAUGUCAAUCCCAUGCCAACGUGAUACAUCAGUUUUUUUGACCUCAUCCGAAUUCACCAAAUGAUGCUUCCUCAUAACCUUCGAAUCACUCUAAAUGAACCUAUAUAAAUCGAUUCUAGUUUAUUGGCCAUUUUUACUGAGAUUAUCAUAAGAGACAUAUAAUGAAUGGAUAAGUUAUUCAAUGUACUUUUAAUAAGCUAUUUAAUGUACUUUUAAUAAGUGUCAAUCUCUCUCAUUUUGAUAAAAAAGUGCCCACUAGUCUUAUUUUAAACCUCCCACCACAGGAUCUUACAUCCUUACAUCUUUAUAGUUAACCUCCAAAAGUAAUCCUGGAUACUUAAUCGGUAAUUUUAUCACUUUAAAUGCCAACACUCUUCAAAUCUUACGUCAAAUCUCCCAUCUCCAGUCUCACUAACUUAAACUCAGUUAAGUUGAUAUUAAGACUCAUAAUCGUCUAUAAACUCAACAAAACUCGUAGAAGAUUAAACAUUGUCCUAUCUUUUAGUUCAUAUAAAUC
rnacentral:lncRNA from 1 species